GGGUGAGAAUCCCGUCCACCGAUUGACUAAGGUUUCCAGAGGAAGGCUCGUCCGCUCUGGGUUAGUCGGGUCCUAAGCUGAGGCCGACAGGCGUAGGCGAUGGAUAACAGGUUGAUAUUCCUGUACCACCUAUAAUCGUUUUAAUCGAUGGGGGGACGCAGUAGGAUAGGCGAAGCGUGCGAUUGGAUUGCACGUCUAAGCAGUAAGGCUGAGUAUUAGGCAAAUCCGGUACUCAUUAAGGCUGAGCUGUGAUGGGGAGAAGACAUUGUGUCUUCGAGUCGUUGAUUUCACACUGCCGAGAAAAGCCUCUAGAUAGAAAAUAGGUGCCCGUACCGCAAACCGACACAGGUAGUCAAGAUGAGAAUUCUAAGGUGAGCGAGCGAACUCUCGUUAAGGAACUCGGCAAAAUGACCCCGUAACUUCGGGAGAAGGGGUGCUCUUUAGGGUUAACGCCCAGAAGAGCCGCAGUGAAUAGGCCCAAGCGACUGUUUAUCAAAAACACAGGUCUCUGCUAAACCGUAAGGUGAUGUAUAGGGGCUGACGCCUGCCCGGUGCUGGAAGGUUAAGAGGAGUGGUUAGCUUCUGCGAAGCUACGAAUCGAAGCCCCAGUAAACGGCGGCCGUAACUAUAACGGUCCUAAGGUAGCGAAAUUCCUUGUCGGGUAAGUUCCGACCCGCACGAAAGGCGUAACGAUUUGGGCACUGUCUCAACGAGAGACUCGGUGAAAUCAUAGUACCUGUGAAGAUGCAGGUUACCCGCGACAGGACGGAAAGACCCCGUGGAGCUUUACUGUAGCCUGAUAUUGAAAUUCGGCACAGCUUGUACAGGAUAGGUAGGAGCCUUUGAAACGUGAGCGCUAGCUUACGUGGAGGCGCUGGUGGGAUACUACCCUAGCUGUGUUGGCUUUCUAACCCGCACCACUUAUCGUGGUGGGAGACAGUGUCAGGCGGGCAGUUUGACUGGGGCGGUCGCCUCCUAAAAGGUAACGGAGGCGCUCAAAGGUUCCCUCAGAAUGGUUGGAAAUCAUUCAUAGAGUGUAAAGGCAUAAGGGAGCUUGACUGCGAGACCUACAAGUCGAGCAGGGUCGAAAGACGGACUUAGUGAUCCGGUGGUUCCGCAUGGAAGGGCCAUCGCUCAACGGAUAAAAGCUACCCCGGGGAUAACAGGCUUAUCUCCCCCAAGAGUUCACAUCGACGGGGAGGUUUGGCACCUCGAUGUCGGCUCAUCGCAUCCUGGGGCUGUAGUCGGUCCCAAGGGUUGGGCUGUUCGCCCAUUAAAGCGGUACGCGAGCUGGGUUCAGAACGUCGUGAGACAGUUCGGUCCCUAUCCGUCGUGGGCGUAGGAAAUUUGAGAGGAGCUGUCCUUAGUACGAGAGGACCGGGAUGGACAUACCUCUGGUGUACCAGUUGUCGUGCCAACGGCAUAGCUGGGUAGCUAUGUGUGGACGGGAUAAGUGCUGAAAGCAUCUAAGCAUGAAGCCCCCCUCAAGAUGAGAUUUCCCAACUUCGGUUAUAAGAUCCCUCAAAGAUGAUGAGGUUAAUAGGUUCGAGGUGGAAGCAUGGUGACAUGUGGAGCUGACGAAUACUAAUCGAUCGAAGACUUAAUCAA
rnacentral:rRNA from 9 species